AGCAGUGAUUUGGACCAACCAUACAACAGUUGCUAAACCAGGUGGGAUCCUCUUUUCAUACAUCCGGCCCUAUACUCCCUUCCUGGCUGUGGACUACUGAUUGGCAAAGAGUGGUAAGAGGGAGACAGAAGGAGGCUGAGGGAUGGGGACAAGGAGGAGGACAUGAUGAGGCUUCAUGAUGCUACCUUUCCUUCCCCAAGACUCCAAGGAAAUAACUCCUGUUCAUCAAACCUCUUAGAAUCCACCUAUUCCUUCAAGAUUCACUUUAAAGAUCUCCUUUUACCAGAAACCUUUGAAUUUUGAGACUGAAUGGGAAGACCUGAAUGGGGAAGACCUGUAUGAAGUCUUUCUGAGUGAAAAAAGCACAAAGAGAACAUAUACUUUUACAAUAACAUAAAGAAAAAACACUAAAAGACAUUAGAAUUCAGGCAAAUAAUAAUUUCAGGUUUGUGGCAAUUCUGCUCCAAGAAAAUCUAUUGGCAUCAUACAGUGUGGUGGGGUGCUCUUAUCAUGUCUCUGUAUCGCAUUUUGAUGAUCCUUGCAAUAUCCCAAACUUUUUUCAUUAUUAUCCAUGUUAUAUCAUAUCUCUGUAUCACAUUUUGGUAAUCCUUGCAAUAUUCCAAAGUUUUUUCUUUACUAUAUAUGUUAUAGCAAUCUGUGAUAUUAAUAUUGUAAUUGUUUGGGGACAUCACGAAUUAUGCCCAUGAGACUGGUGAAUGUAUUUAAUAAAUAAAUAUGAUAUGUUCUGACUGUA